rnacentral:tRNA from 1 species
AAAAAGAUGGCCGAUUAAAGCAGAAGAUUGUAAUCCUUCCCAUGGGCUACGCCCUCUUUUU